rnacentral:lncRNA from 1 species
GUAGUGAUACUAAUGUUUCUAAAUUAUCUGUGCUUUCAGUAUAUGUCCUGGAUUGUGCUGUUCCUCUCUCCUAUGUAAAUAUUCUCUGCUGUGCUACGCAAAAUGGCUGCUAAAUGUGCCUUCCACAUCAGAGAGUGAAGCAUGAAAGUACAAUGGGCGUUCGUAUCAAAAGGAUAUAAAGGUUAUUCCUUCCCUCCUCCUGAGAAACUUCUGUUUCAUGGAAGAACAGACCCAGUGAGAGGAGGCUACCUCAUCUGGCAAGCCACUGACUUGUAGCACAGCAUGGAGCUUCAGUGACAUGCUAUGAGAACAGGAGAAAGAGAAUGCCAAAAGGUUUGGUAGGUUAUGGAAGAAGAAGUUGGACGUGAGAAUCAUCUAGAAAUAAAUUAACAGGUAUUAAAAAAAAAUAAUUCUUA